rnacentral:rRNA from 1 species
UGGCGGCGUGCCUAUACAUGCAAGUCGAGCGGACCGACGGGAGCUUGCUCCCUUAGGUCAGCGGCGGACGGGUGAGUAACACGUGGGUAACCUGCCUGUAAGACUGGGAUAACUCCGGGAAACCGGGGCUAAUACCGGAUGCUUGAUUGAACCGCAUGGUUCAAUCAUGAAAGGCGGCUUCGGCUGCCGUUUACAGAUGGACCCGCGGCGCAUUAGCUAGUUGGUGAGGUAACGGCUCACCAAGGCGACGAUGCGUAGCCGACCUGAGAGGGUGAUCGGCCACACUGGGACUGAGACACGGCCCAGACUCCUACGGGAGGCAGCAGUAGGGAAUCUUCCGCAAUGGACGAAAGUCUGACGGAGCAACGCCGCGUGAGUGAUGAAGGUUUUCGGAUCGUAAAGCUCUGUUGUUAGGGAAGAACAAGUACCGUUCGAAUAGGGCGGUACCUUGACGGUACCUAACCAGAAAGCCACGGCUAACUACGUGCCAGCAGCCGCGGUAAUACGUAGGUGGCAAGCGUUGUCCGGAAUUAUUGGGCGUAAAGCGCGCGCAGGCGGUUUCUUAAGUCUGAUGUGAAAGCCCCCGGCUCAACCGGGGGAGGGUCAUUGGAAACUGGGGAACUUGAGUGCAGAAGAGGAGAGU